UACGUAGGGGGGCAAGCGUUGUCCGGAAUCAUUGGGCGUAAAGAGCGUGUAGGCGGUCCGAUAAGUCCGCUCUGAAAGCCCGGGGCUCAACCCCGGGAGGCGGGCGGAUACUGUCGGGCUAGAGUCCGGAAGAGGCAAGUGGAAUUCCUGGUGUAGCGGUGAAAUGCGCAGAUAUCAGGAGGAACACCGAUGGCGAAGGCAGCUUGCUGGGACGGUACUGACGCUGAGACGCGAAAGCGUGGGGAGCAAACAGG
rnacentral:rRNA from 1 species